CGUCCUAUUGCCCAAUCCGAACUGUGGAGAUAAUAUUCCUGGCAAGGAAAAUUAUGGUUGUUUAACUGCGUAGAGAACAGACGGUACCAUAUUUCAACGGAAAUAUCCAGUUUGACCAUUCCCGAAUCCAUUGGGAUGAUUUUCUGCUUGGCGUCUGAACGUACGGACAGAAUGAAGGAUUUUUCCAAAACGGAUCGUAAAAUGGAUGCAAGAGCGAUUUUUUCCGGACGUCUGUACGUACGUAUGUAACCCAAGGAAAGAUCUUCGAUGCUGUUAAAUAUGGAUAGCGGAUGGCAAAGUCCAAUCAAUCACGAAAGCCGGAAAUCAGACCAUUUGGAAACGUCUGUCGGAGUACAAUCGAACUUUAUCCUGCCGUUAAACGCAGUGUUGCCUAAGCAAUAGUGCGAUAUUGGCUAUUUUUGACAAACGUAUGAUACUAAAAUUUAUGGAUAUGUGAUUUGGUGAAUUCUCUGCUUCUCCAUCAAAUGUGCAUAUGUUAAU